UACGAAGGGUGCAACCGUUGCUCGGAAUUAUUGGGCGUAAAGCGCACGUAGGCGGCUUUUCAAGUCGGAUGUGAAAUCCCUCGGCUUAACCAAGGAAGUGCAUCCGAAACUGGAAGGCUUGAGUACUUAAGAGGAUCGCGGAAUUCCCGGUGUAGAGGUGAAAUUCGUAGAUAUCGGGAGGAACACCAGUGGCGAAGGCGGCGAUCUGGGAAGAUACUGACGCUGAGGUGCGAAAGCGUGGGGAGCAAACAGG
rnacentral:rRNA from 1 species